rnacentral:lncRNA from 1 species
GUUGCAGGGGUUCCGAGGCGGACCUGGGGAGCAGAAACCCCUGUUUAGGGUGAACCGUGGCGGGCGCCGAUGGCCUCUUGGAAGAGGACAGACUAGCAGCUGCGAGGGAGAUGGGACUGGGUUUCACCCCUGAAAGGGCCCCUGGAGACAGCGGGUGAGGGACAGGGGAAGGGGCUGGUGGUCCUCUCUCCCGAGGCCCCGCACCAUCACACGGAUGACUUGGCACAAUAGCUGCUGGGCCAGUGUUGUCGCCUGUGACUGUACUUUAGGGAAACUGACAGGGAGAUCAUGAUGUCGCCAUUUUGAUGGGGUCCCCAGAGGAGAGAUGUCCUCCCCAACGGCUCCUGGACAGGACUGGGGAAAGAGUUCAGAUAAGUAUCUCUGUGGUCUGGGCUGUCACCUUACAACUGCACAACUCUGGACCUCCAGCAUCAGAACCACUGGGGCCUAGGUUAAUAAUACAGAUUUUCAGGCUCCAAUUUGGACAGACGAAACUGAUCUCUGGGGUGGGACCCAGGAAUCUACGUGUAAACAAGCACCCAGGGGAGUUCUGCUCACUGAAAUUUGAGAAUCCCUGAUUUAGAAGGAGGACUAUGCUCUGUGCAUGUUCUCUGAAAUGUUGGGUCAAUCAGGACCUGUCUACUGAAACUGCUCCAACCAGCCAAGGUGCAGAGAAAAGAUGCGUGCAGGGCCGAAAACCAGGGUGCUCUGGAGGCAGGGAGCCCUCGAGAAUGUAAAGCCAGCAAGCUGUUACAGAGUGAUUUGCACAGAACAGACACUCAGUUGAUAUUUGUCAAUUUGCUGUGUUUAAGAACCUUGCUGAAUUAAUUUAAAAGGUAUUUUUAAAAGAAUGAAAUUGAGGAAAAAACCUUCAAGGUUCAGAAAAUGUGAAGUUCUCAUUUACUUGUUUAUGAAAUUGUUUUUGAGUCCAAUAAAGAUGCUCAGCUAAAAUGGUUUUUUUGUUUUAAAUCUCAGAAUUAAGUUUCUCUUAGUUUUGGGCAGUUCGGUCCAGCUACUUGCAAAAGACAGGCUUCCAUAUCUCCUGUAUGCAGCCCUGAAGGACCCAACAGAAGUAAAAUAGUUAUUUAAGGAAUGCAAAGGACUAGGGACAGGAUGCAGAUUAAAAUGUUUAAGAUGAUGUCUGCAGAUGAUGUUUGUAGAUGCUUAAGUUUGUUGAAUUCUUAGUCUUCCUCACAAAGCAGCUAAUUACUUUCAAGACUCUAGUGAGCCUCAAUUUACUCCAAUUUAUGAUUUCCAAUGGUUCUGCAUAAAACUGGGUUGCCGUUUUAUGAAAUUGUUUGCAUCUGCUUGACGUGGGCGCAAACUUCACAGUGAGGAGAUAAUGUGAGGGUUUUGCCUUCUUGCAAAACAACUUACAUAUAUAUGUGAAAAAACUGGGGUUGGGGUUUGAAUUAUGUGGACUGCCUGUGCGUAGUAAGCUCUCUGGUCAGUUACCUAUUUGGCUUUGUGUGGACACAGCUCUUAGGAGGGAGGGUGGUGGAAUUCCUGCUCAUUACCUAUAGUAUCUUGCAGGAGGGCUGCUGAACGCCGGAGCCUUACAACUGUUAAACUCAGGCAGAGCUCGGGAAAUGCUGCCCGGAUGGGUGACUGAUGGAGAGGGGCUACCACUCUUCCAGCUAAACUCCGCUCUGGUUGGGACCCAGCAAUUAUUUUCCAUAGCGAAGUGUUAAUAAAAUAUCUGUUACUCCCAACACAACCUCCUGGGGGAAGGGACCUGUCUGUCUGCUUCAACUUUGGAUCCUCAGUGCCCACAUCAGGAUACCUGGCCUGAGAGCAUCCGGUGACCCAGUUUUAGGUCUCAAGGUCACUGCCAAGAAAGAGAAGCUGCUAAAGUGACACCUCUGUGCACCCACAUGACUUAACACAAAAGUUAACAGGAGCUCUUCAAAAACAAGCCUCUCGAGUGUCUGUCUCCUGUUUUCCCUGAGGACAGCAUCAGUGGCAUCAGAUAGGGGUUGGGGCUGGGUGACCUGCUGGUCCUCAGCCAUCACUGUGGCCCAGAGGUCAUUUAAGCAGCUCUCUGCUUAGCAGACAGGCAGAGGGAAUAGAUGGAAGGUACAGGUAAACACUGCAUGUGGCCACCGCGAGGAUACCCCGGAGCCUGGGAAACAGACAGGGACGUCGUAAAACCAACACAUAAUGGACCAGUGCAGAGACAGGCAAAACCAGUCAGAAGAAAUAGGAUGGUGCCUAGCCCAGGGACACCUGACUUAAGAGAGGGUCCUGCCGGUAUUACCCUGGAGGAAGGAAUGCUGCACAGAGGCCGAGAGGAAUUUGAACAGACUGGCCUUGCUGGGUUUUUAUCUCUUUUUGUCCAAUCCCAUUUUGACACAGUUGUCCAUGCUCCAAUCAUGCUUAUCCAAUGAAGUUUCCAUAACAGGCCUGAGAGGACAGGGUUCAGGAGCUUCCGGACAGCUGAGCAGGUGGAGGUUCCUGGAGGGUGGUGUGCCAGGGAGGGUGUGGAAGCUCUGCCCCUUCCCCCAUACCUUGUCCUAUGCAUUCCUUUAUCUGCAUCCUUCAUUUUAUUUUAUUUUUUUUUGAGACGGAGUCUUGCUCUUGUCGUCCAGGCUGGAAUGCAGUGGUGCGCGA